GACGAACGCUGGCGGCAGGCCUAACACAUGCAAGUCGAGCGGAGCGGCGGACGGGUGAGUAAUGCCUAGGAAUCUGCCUGGUAGUGGGGGAUAACGUCCGGAAACGGGAGCUAAUACCGCAUACUAUCAGAUGAGCCUGGGUCGGAUUAGCUAGUUGGGGGGGUAAAGGCCUACCAAGGCGACGAUCCGUAACUGGGCUGAGAGGAUGAUCAGUCACACUGGAACGGAGACACGGUCCAGCCUCCUACGGGAGGCAGCAGGGGGGAAUAUUGGACAAUGGGCGAAAGCCUGGUCCAGCCCUGCCGCGUGUGUGAAGAAGUUCGUCGGAUUGUAAAGCGCUUUCAGCGGGGAGGCGUUACCCGCAGAAGAAGCACCGGCUAACUCCGUGCCAGCAGCCGCGGUUUC
rnacentral:rRNA from 1 species